UUAUCAGCUUGUUGGUGGGGUAGUGGCUUACCAAGGCUUUGACGGGUAGCCGGCCUGAGAGGGUGACCGGCCACAUUGGGACUGAGAUACGGCCCAGACUCCUACGGGAGGCAGCAGUGGGGAAUAUUGCACAAUGGGCUGAAGCCUGAUGCAGCAACGCCGCGUGCGUGAUGACGGCCUUCGGGUUGUAAACCGCUUUCGCCUGUGACGAAGCGUGAGUGACGGUAAUGGGUAAAGAAGCACCGGCUAACUACGUGCCAGCAGCCGCGGUGAAUACGUAGGGUGCGAGCGUUGUCCGGAUUUAUUGGGCGUAAAGGGCUCGUAGGUGGUUGAUCGCGUCGGAAGUGUAAUCUUGGGGCUUAACCCUGAGCGUGCUUUCGAUACGGGUUGACUUGAGGAAAGUAGGGGAGAAUGGAAUUCCUG
rnacentral:rRNA from 1 species